GUCUGAGCUGGUGGAGAAGUGAACCUAGCAACCUGGUGUUCCAGAAGAAGGGACUUUUGCCCAGAGUCAUACCUUUGUCAAAUAUACACAAGACAGGAGCAGGAGGAAGCCACUUUAAGGAGUAGAGUGAUAGAUACAGUCUGGCUGGAGCUUUAAGAAGGUCACACUGGCAGAGACAACAUGCCUCCUGGCUCCACCAUUGCCACCACCACCACCACCUCUGACGCGAGAGAAGAAAUGUCUCUGGAAGUACCCCUCUCCAGCGCCGUCAUUUUGAGCACCUUCCUGCAAGAGCAUAGCCCAGAAAUUCUGGACCUUCCUGGCAUGACCCAUCUCAUGGAGUUCCUAUGUCCUGGGCCCUCCCCUAAUAGCAACUAACCCGACGAUGUGGCCAUGUGGCAGCCUUCAUCGGGGACAAGAUGGAAGUCAGGUGGAUGCUGUCCCACAUCGGCGAGCUGCCCAGGCUGGCCAGG